rnacentral:rRNA from 1 species
UACAGAGGUCUCGAGCGUUAAUCGGAGUCACUGGGCUUAAAGGGUGCGUAGGCGGGUCUGUAAGUGCCUUGUGAAAUCCCAUGGCUCAACCAUGGAAUUGCUCGGUAGACUGCAGGCCUUGAGGUCGGUAGGGGCAGCUGGAACUCUAGGUGGAGCGGUGAAAUGCGUAGAUAUCUAGAGGAACGCCGAAGGUGAAGACAAGCUGCUGGGCCGAUUCUGACGCUGAGGCACGAAAGCGUGGGGAGCAAACGGG